GGGGGUCUAGACGGCGCGCGGGCGCGUUCGUCAGUCGCUGUUUGGGACGCAGGGCGUGCGGAGUUCUGUCUCCGCUCCCGUUUCGCAGUCACAGCCAGUUCCUUCCCGGAGCCCGGGACGGGCUGGGCGCGCACCCGUGUGAGUGAGCGGGACUCAGGGCAGAAGUGUCCCCUCACUGCGUUUUUUUUCUUCCUUUUAUCCAAAGAACGGGGCAGUUCGCACGCUUGCCUUCCUGUCGCCCGGUUGGGAGCGGGGUUGGUGUGCGGAGUGGUUCGCCUUUUUUUCUUUUGAACUUGUGAGCGCUUUUUUUUUUUUUCUUUUUUUAGGCUCAGUGCCGUCCGGGCUGGUUUCCCCGGUCCCUGACUAACCGCUUUCUGCCUCUUCUCUCGCCACCCCUGCCCAAGGUCGCCCCUCUGCCCUCGCCCCUGGCCCGGGAGGGUGGGAGGCUUUGACCCCGCCCUGCCCACUCGCGUCUCCGCAGCCGUAGCCGCACCUGCCCCCAAUAUGAAUAGGGUCAACGACCUACCUGUUUUUAUAAGAGAUAUUAAGCCCGGACUGAAAAACUUAAAUGUCGUCUUUAUUGUACUGGAGAUAGGACGCGUGACCAAAACCAAAGACGGCCAUGAAGUGAGAUCGUGCAAAGUAGCAGAUAAAACGGGCAGCAUCACUAUUUCCGUGUGGGAUGAGAUCGGAGGUCUUAUCCAGCCAGGGGAUAUUAUUCGGUUGACCAGAGGGUAUGCAUCCAUGUGGAAAGGAUGUCUGACACUUUAUACUGGAAGAGGUGGUGAACUUCAAAAAAUUGGGGAUCUAGGUGCGGUGCAGGCAGCCGCAAUGCGAGAUUCCAUACACUACUACCCUGGUAAUGAUCUCCACCCUGACCUGGAGGAGCCAUCCUCUCUAGGGGUGUAAGAUUUUGUAUGGUUUAUUCAGAAGUGCCAAAUUUCAGUGAACCCAACCCAGAUUAUCGAGGACAUCAGAACAAAGGGGCACAGAGUGAACAGAAGAAUAAUUCCAUGAAUAGUAAUAUGGGUACAGGUACAUUUGGACCAGUGGGAAAUGGUGUUCACACUGGCCCUGAAUCAAGGGGACACCAGUUUUCACAUGCUGGCAGAAGCAAUGGCUGGGGACUUAGAAAUCCACAACUACCAGGAACAGCUAAUCAAACAGUGAUGACCACAAUAAGUAAUGGCAGGGACCCUCGGAGAGCCUUUAAAAGAUGACCUAGGCCCAAUACUCACAUGUAGUUUUUAUACUACAUGCCCUACUUGAACACUUAUUGCACUUUUAUUUAUUGUUAACUGUGAAAAGUAUGUCCUUUAUUGGAUUUCCUUUUGUAUCCUUGGUUUAUUAAGAAGAAUGGUUUGUUUUUAUAGCAAAACUGUUAAGCUGCUCAAGUCUCCUAUUGAAGAAUGGGAACACUGAAAAGUAGGGGCAUUUAUUUUUAGAGCAAAAAGACUGUUGGAGAGCCUCUAAAAAACCUGCACCCAUUUCAUGGGUGAGUUACUUAAGACAUCAGCUUUAUAGCCUCUAUGAGUCUUAUCUUCUGUAUAAGUUUUGUAAUAUUUAACACAAGGCUUAAUGGGAGCUGUUCUUUUGUCUUGUAUUCAGAUAUUGCCAACUAAAGCAAUAACCAUCAAAAAACACAAGAACUUGUCAAUGCUAGCUGUAAGUUUUGAGUGUUUGUGGCUCUCGGAAUGAUUGACUUAAUUGAGCGACUGCCAUUAAGAUUUUCCAAGGACUGACUCGUCCUAAAUUUUUGUUGUACUACCAAAAAACAGAUUCCUUAUCAGAAUUUGGAAUAGAAUGUGAUCUAUAUUGCAACAAGUAAUUUUAAAAGAAAGCUACGUUUAUUUUAGAGUAGUCUUCCUAAUAUGUAUUAUCAAUAUCAACUUUGUGGAUUACAUUGGAAGAAGAUUGAAACUGGGGCCUUGGAUAUUUUUUGAAACCACCAUGUUAAAUAUUGAAGUAUAAUUUGAGGGAGUUAUAAAGUUACAAACAUUGAUCUGAUUAUUUUCAAAAAUAAUUGUGAACAUACUGGAGGUGAGUCAAAUUGAAUUCAUACAGUAACAUGCAGUCUUAAGUCCCAGUACUCAGCCUGGAGUAAAAAUCCUGGGUACUAACUUUGAGAGGCAUUAGUGUGUAUGUUGUCAAAGUUUCUGAACACAGUUCACAUAGCCUUAUUAGUAGAAGUUUAAGAAAUGGCUCUAUCAAACAAUUACAGCUUUAUUCAGAAAUGUAAAGGUGGAAUUUAUGUACAUGUCAUAAGUGGUACCCACGUCCCUUUUUACUGUAGGGUGAAGAACUUAGGAUUUAACUCUUUUUUAAUAUUAUCUCUUGAAUAAAACUUGUGUUAAUGUUAACAAACCUACUUAAUUUUUGCUCUUUCAAUGACUUCCAGUGGAGAGCCAGUACAUCUUAACUACUGUUGUAGUGAUGGCAUCAACCUCAUGGUUACUCAGCCCUGCAUUUGUUGCUUUGUUUUUUUCCCACUUCAGAUCACAAAAUAAUUAAGUAGAUUUCGUUUUCUGAAAACUCCAUAGCACUUGAAUAUAAAAAGUUGUGCCAGAUUGUUUGUUCUAAUUUAGUGUAUUUUUAACAAAUAUUUCAGUACACACUAUGUAUUAGGCACUGUGGAAAGUGUUAAGGGAUAGACAAAAUACCAAAUAAUCUUCACAAGUUUAUUUGUGGUCUAUAGUACUUUUGUAACUGGGGUUACAAAAAUUAUAGAAUCUUUUUUCCUUUAUUCAUGUGCAUAUUAACGAUUAUAGUUAAUUUGGCUUUGUGAUUAAUGUUUUCUUAAGAUUUUCACAUUACAGAAUACCUCAAAAGAGGUAAUCUAAGGAUUGGGAUAGAGAGUAUAUUUCAUAAGAUGGUAGAUGUUUAGAAUUAAAAAACACUACAAAUUAGUGUAUGAUUGUUUUAUCUAAGAUAGGAGCAACACUUUAUCACUUUGUGGGAGAAUAUGGCAUUACAGGUGAUUUUAAAAGAAGAGAUUUUGGAGUUUUAGAAAAUUAAAAUACUGUCAGGUAUGCAAUUCUGGGCUUCCAAUCCUGGCCUCCUUGUCUCCUCACCUGUGAUGUUGGGUGAGUUAUUACACUUGAAACCUCUAAUCCUUAGGUUCCACAACUAUGAAAACAACAGUAUCCUUUCUAGACUUGUUUAAGAUUUCCAUGUAAGUAAUUAUAAUGACUUCUGACACGUAAUAAGCAGUCAAAUAUUUGUCAUCUUAUACCCUAAGAGCAGGAAAAAAUGCAGAAUUCAGUAUGAAAGUAUUGUUACCUUUUAACACAGUGGUCCCCAAUCUUUUUGACACCAGAGAUGUUUCCUGGAAGACAGUUUUUCCAUGGGAUGGGGGGAUGGUUUUGGGAUGAAACACUUCCACCUCAGGUCAUCAGGCAUUGGUUAGAUUCUUGUAAGGAGCAUGCAGCCUAGAUCCCUUGCAUAUGCAGUUCACAAUGGGGUUCGUGCUCCUUUGAGAAUCUAAUGCCACUACUAAUCUGACCAGAGGCAGAGCUCAGGCAGUAAGGCUUCCUCGCCUGUCACUCACCUGCUGGGUGGUCCUGUUCCUAACAGGCCGGAGUUGAUACUGACCUAGGGGUUGGGGACCUCUGCUUUAACAUAUUGUUAAAUAGAGAAAGACCUAAGCUUUUACUUUUGUGUUUGACACUUGCUUCAAUAAUGUAACUUUAUUCUGUGUUUUUGUCAUUUAUUAACAAAUUUCUUUUUUCUUAAGGGGAGUCUCCAAAAUCAAAGCAAAGUGAGUUACAAUCCAUAAUGAAUAUUUGCCUUACCAGCCUACUGGAACACACUCCUCAAGAAGCUAAGAGGAAGAAGUUUUCUACCUGCAGCUAUCAACUUCGAAAUAAGUUUAAACAACACCUACUGAAAACAAAAACCAAUUAGUAUAAAAAAUAUCCCCCACCAGAACCGGGUCCCCCAUAUCAUUUCUACAAAAGGGUUCUGGGAUGGAUCAAAGUCUUAUCAGAUCCAUUUGCUCCUUCUUGUUUGGGCAGGUUCUAGGAGAAGUAGCUGUAAUACAGAAACUGAACGAUGACAUCCAUAAAGCCAGAUAACGAUAUUUAGCAGGGAUGGCUACAAUAUGCUUUCCAUGGGCACUUAAACACUCAGUUUUUCCUAGUGUAUCAAUGCUUUAUACUUUGUCCCUAUAGUCUUUGUACUUUUAACUUUGAUGACCAUUUAACUUGAGGAUAAUCUGAAUAUGUGCAGUAUUUGCCAUUUGUAUUUUUAUCAUUUAACAUUUUAAAUGAGUGCUUAAUUUGUUGGGUUGAGUAAUACCAAGGGAGUGAUGCUAAAAACAAAUAGGAAGUUAGUAAAAGAAUUAAAGUUACAAUUUAUGAUAUGAGAACUUCUAAAGCAUAGGAAAGUAGGCAAAUGGCCCUAAAAUGUUUUCUCAGAAGGUACAAGCUUUACAUCAGUCUGAAGACAUACAGAUCUAACAUUUCAAUUUAGUUGCUGAAAUGACUGACAUUUUCUGGUGUCGUUGACAUACUGCCUAUUUGCUCCAAGCCAUUUUAGGCUCAGAAUGACUGUUAAGUUCUUCUAAUGUAUAUAAAGCAUUCUAGAAUCAGCAAACUGAACAUGAUAAGAGGCAGUACCAACAUGGAAUUCCCCCAAACAAGUCCCCUCUAACCUUACUGAGCUUACUUGCACUAUUACUAAUAUGUAUAUAUAUAUGAUCUUCUGUUGCUUCUCUAUUUUAUCCCUUACCUGAUGAAAGUCUGAACAUUUCUAGUGGAGAAAGAUCAUAGUUCUCUAGUAUGGGCAGUAAGAGGGGUACAGGUUGGGUUAGGGGUACAGUGAUAGGCUGCCUCCACUGGGGUUGAAAACUUGUGUGCCUAGGUUUCAGCCAGUGAUUACACUGUGUAAUUAACCAGUCCCAUAUUUCACAAAGGAGUUGUAAUGAUUAACAGUUCAGAUAUGCUUCUGAGGAAAUCUAAUUGUGACCUUUGGAAAAUAGCACUGUUACGAAUAGUGUGGUUUACGCCCUGAGGGAGAAGCUAGAAAAACAUUUUACUUUUCAGGUAUAUUUAAAUUAUAUCCAAAUGUCUCAGUUUGCUUUACUGGGAACUUCCUGAGUUUGGAGUUCAAAUAUUGUAACCAAGUUACUCCAAGUUUCUGAACUAAACAUCUAUAAAUGUUUCUCAAAGUAUAGAUCACAGAGUAAGAAAAGGGGAAAUCAAGUCUGGUUUAUGACCAGCUUUUUUCCAUGUUAACAUUAGACCUAGAGAUCUUACUAAGAUUUUACUGUGAGAUAACCAGUAUGAUGUGAAGACGAACAUUUUAAGAAGCUUGACUAGUGGAUAUUUCGUUUAAGCCUUUUGGAAGGUCUUGAUCCACAACUCACAGUUUUAUUGCGGCUCCCCAGGCCUUGAGAACAUGUCAACCCAAGGCUUGGAUGAUCAUUGUUGACCUGUAAAAGAGCGCAGGUCUCUUGAGAGUUUAUUGACACACCCCCACAAUGUGUCUCAACCUCUGUUGAAAGGCUAGUGACAUUUUUAAAAACCUGUUAUUUCCAAUCAGAAAUUUAAGUAUGUUUUAUGUCUUUCAUUCCAUCAAAAUUUAUGCUUCUCAGCAUAGGGUAGUCUAGUUUCUUGGUGUGUAUAUUAAAUACAUUGAAUAAAAUUCUUAAUGAUUUAGGAAUAAUGUACAUGAGACUUCCCAGGAACUUGUCAAAAUUUCGUAUGGCACCUCUGCACCAAUAACAUUAGUGUACGUUUGGGAGACCUGCACUUGAAACCCUGAAGUUGCUUGCCUCCUGCCCUUGCACUCUCCCUCUGUACUGAAAUUAUGUAUUUUUUCUCAGUUUUUUACCUUUUUGAGGCUGAUACAUGUUGAAGUUUUGGGUUGUAAAACAAAUUGUACUUGGGGAGAAUUGUUGGGUAAAGCAUAUAGCCCCAAGCAGAGUAAGAGGUUCAGUAUGGCCUGUGGAUGUGGGCAUUGCAAAUUUUGAAUUAGGUUCAAAUAAAAUUACUUAAAUUAUACAUCAAUGCUAAGAUCAGAUAUUAAUAGGGAGGCCACAUGACUUUGAGUCUAUCAAGAUAAAAUGCUUUUUUUGCCCUAAGUUUUUGAAAAUUAGAGUUUAUUGUUGCUCAUCUCAGCAAAUUCAUGUUUUCGGCCUCCUCUGCCUUCCUCCUGUCCCUCAGUUCCCUACUUUAUUAUAUGGAAAAGGCUGGCCAAAUUGAAAAGUAGCUCAGUUGGAGAGCUGAAAAAUACUUUUGAAAAUACUUACAGAAACCACCCUUCAUCUUCCACAUAAAGAUCUCAGUCCUGUUCAGUACCGAGAGGCAACUACAAUGAAUAUUUUCUACAAGUAACAUGGAAAGCAUGAUAUGAGUGCCAUGAUUUUCUAAUUUUCACUAAAUGUUUGUAGCCCUGGUAGGAAACAAACUUCUGACCUAAGUUGCCGGGCUACUUGAAUAAAAACAAGGUAGUCAGUACAACUAGUGCCAUCUACUGGGUCAUUACUGCAUGGUUUCUGUCUGUUCAGAAAUCCGGCUUAGUUUAACACGUGGGGGAAACAGUACUAUUCCAUUGAAAGUAAUUUUUGCCUGAUAGUGUAAGCAUGAUACGGAAAAUCAUUAAGGGGCAGUUGGGCCAUUUGUUUAGUUCUAGUUUAUGAACACUCAACACUGACAUUAAAUUUCAGUUAAGUAGAUUAAACCCUGAACUGCCCCUAAAGCUAUCAGAAAUACGGGAAAGUUUGCCAAGUUUUGUAUUCUCAUUACAUUUGUCAAUAUUGUUGGUGAGAAGUGUAAACUGUUAAAAAUGCCUUUUGGUGAGUGGUGGUUUGGUAAAGACAAAUGAAGUAGAACACGACACUGCCCUUACAAAUUUUAUUCCCUUACCCAAUGGUAUUAUGUAAAAUCCUGGCCAAAUGACUCUGCUGCUGUUGUGGUUAUAUUGAGCUUCGCAGAACAUAACCUAUUUUAAAUGCCAGAAUGUGCUUCAAUGAAAAAGAACAUGGUUUUGGGCUGAGGAGAUCUUGGGUUGAGUCCUGAUUUGAUUAUUUACUGGCCCCAGGACCGUGAACCUCGUUAUAAAAUGAUAGUGGGGCUAUGUACUCGUAUUGCUAGGAGGACCGUGUGACCUAAUGUAUGCAAAAUAUCUGCCCCAUAUCUAAGGCUCAACAAAUGUUAAGCCCUCUCUCCAUCAGCAUAGGAAAUAAGAAAAUACUGUUCAUUUCUCCAUGUCAUUAUUAGAAAACAAUCUUCUAUAAUUUAAAAUCUGAAAUAUUAAGCAAUAUAUAUGAA